GUAACACAGGUGCUGCAUGGCUGUCGUCAGCUCGUGUCGUGAGAUGUUGGGUUAAGUCCCGCAACGAGCGCAACCCUUGUCAUUAGUUGCUACAUUUAGUUGGGCACUCUAAUGAGACUGCCGGUGACAAACCGGAGGAAGGUGGGGAUGACGUCAAGUCCUCAUGGCCCUUAUAGGUGGGGCUACACACGUCAUACAAUGGCUGGUACAAAGGGUUGCCAACCCGCGAGGGGGAGCUAAUCCCAUAAAACCAGUCGUAGUCCGGAUCGCAGUCUGCAACUCGACUGCGUGAAGUCGGAAUCGCUAGUAAUCGUGGAUCAGAAUGUCACGGUGAAUACGUUCCCGGGUCUUGUACACACCGCCCGUCACACCAUGGGACGGGGUUCUGCCAGAAGUAGGUAGCCUAACCGCAAGGAGG
rnacentral:rRNA from 1 species